AAUCUGGGGUCUGGGUGAAACUGCAGCUCUGCUGGUAUCCAGGGACGUGAGGUUCCGGGGGACUGCGUUUCUCUGUGGCUUUCCAGGUCGGCAGGAGCCGGAGGAAAUGGGGUGCCAGAGCCGUGCCCCAUCAGGCCGUGUUUGCCUCUGAGGAACAGAGAGUCCGGGCUGAGGGAGAAGAGGACGAACUCCCAGCCAUUCAGGCCUGACAGUCCCCUGCAGCGAGAGCAUACACUGGAAGAGUUCAGGGUCGAAGACAAGGCUGAGGGAAAAUCCAGGGUAUUUAUAAGGGAUGAUGAGAGGUGGGUCCAGGGUGAGAAUCCAGUGGGUAAAGGGAAAAGUGGUGUAAGGGAGGAGUAAUACAGGGCAGGGGCCGAUAAGGUAGGAUGGGUGGAACAGUGCAGUGAACAUAAACCAAUGGGGGGGGGGGGGGGGGGGGGGGGUACAGGGAUACAAGAACUUUCCAGAGCUGGGAGGAGACAAGGGAUGACAUAACUGGGAAUAGAGGCAACCAAUGGGAAAUGAGGGUUAUAAAGCUUUACCUUAAAGCUUUACCAUAAAGAAUUUUUAAAACCUUUGACAACCUUCUUAGGAGCUAUUCUCAACUUAAACAAAUGCCCUCCAAGGUCUGGGGCCAUGGGCCAACUCCUCACCCAAAACACUGGUCUGGCUUGGCAUGUCAGCCAGUUCGAUUCCUACACUGGGCCUCUGCAUGAUAUUCGCCCAGAAGCUGCCUUUCAAGGACUGAAGUGGAACAAAAGGUAUAAAAGCAGUGUCAUUCCCAGAGGGAAAACAGUUUCAUUUCUCUUGUGUCUGCUUUUUUUUUUUUUUUUUUUUUUUUUUUUUUUUUUUUUUUUUUUUUUACAGUUACAUCAAAAUUCCCGGAUCCAGAACAGCUACUCUGAGUUUCGGUAGAGAUUCCAAAGCAGGAUACAGUAGGUUUCAAAGUACACCUUGGAAAGUCAAUCAUUUGUCUGCAGCAUGCAGCAGGUAGGUGUGAUGUCUGUAACUGGUCUUAGUUGAUGCAGAGGUACUUGGACAAAAAUGUUUAAUCUUUCAUCUCUCCCCACCUGCAUUCUUCCUAAGUGUACUUUUUAUUCAGCAGGACUCGGAUGAGAGAGAGAGAGAGAGAGAGAGAGAGAGGAACUCUCUUCACAUCAGCGUCAAAGGAAAAAGUGUUCAGCGACUUACAGUCCUAGUGACUGUUCUGUGUAAAAGCAGGAUUGUUUUGCCAUCAGACCUUGCGUGCCGUACCAGUCUGUGCGUUAACAGGUGUCUAAGAAAGGUCAAAAGGGAAUAACUCCAUGUCGUUCACCCGUGUGAAUCUUGGUGGGGAGCAGAGCCGAGAGUGAACUGCAGUGAGGGGGAGGUUACUGAAGCCCCAGUUUGUUUCCAGUGAGCGUGGUGUUGUGGUGUUCAAAGUUACAGGUGCCUGCUGGCCUGGAGCUGGAUACUUCUGCCUCUGCUUUCUUUGGGGGUUGAUGAUUCCUUAUGUUUAUGUUGGCGUGCCAAACAAAUUGUUAAAGGUAUUUCCAUCAGA